UUAGUAGGAGGACGGGGUUUGCCGUGUUUGUGUGUUGUUUUGAUUACCAAUUCCUUCAAUCCUAGAUAGGGGAUAGACAGAGCGGCGAUCGCUGCCUGAGGACUGACCCUAUCGCUUGGUGAGCAUUCAGGUGAAAGUAGCAGCAGAAAGGCUGGGAAAAAGGGGACAGGUGUCCCGCGUAAGACGCUUGGAUAUCCCGCUUCGACUCGUAUUACAGUACUUUCACUUGGGGGCAUGUGUGGAUCCAGGGUGAAAAUAUCGCAGUGGUGUUUCGUUUGCCCGCACUGUUGUGGUUGAGCAAGCGGUGAUUUUUUUUUUUUUAACCCCUUGAGAAACAAGCCAAGAGUGGACGCCGUACGGUAACGGAGGCUAACGAGCUAGAGACAAAAGACUAAACCGAGAGAACCGCUGUUUCGCUUUUCAAACUGCCCGUUUGCAUUCACGCUGGGUUCGAAGUGAGUUCUGCUCCUCAGCCCGCUCACCUCCGCCGCCAUCUUGGGUCUGAGCAAACAGUCAGGCUGACGUCACAGCGUUUGGAAGCUGGAAGUUGGAAGGAUGACGCAGGCCCAGUCUGUACUCGACCUGGAGCGGUGGGAAUGUUCCCCUGUGCAGCCGGCCAUGACAGGCCGGGACUCGGCUCCUGCACUCCAUGGAGCAAGUGAUUGACACGUCUCACCGGGGGAGGUGGGACUCCUUAGCUGUCGUUUGGAAGGGCCAGUGGAAGAAUGGAGACACCAUGCGAAGGGAUUCGUCAGUGGGUAUAGGUUUUCUCAGACCUGUACCUUAGACAACUAUGAGGCAGAUGUGCCCCGUUAACUCACUGCCAUUGUUGGUGCUAGACGUCCAAUCCAUUUCAACUGGAAGAGGCACUCAAAAUGGAUUGGAAAUCUAGUGCUUUCAAUGAUGGUGUCAAGCUAAUAAUUACCACAGUCAAAUUUUAACCAAAUUUUGGGGUUUUGGCAUUGACAUUCAAAUAAGUAAAAACCCUACAUUAAAAUGUGACGUGUUCCCAAAGAG